rnacentral:rRNA from 1 species
UACGAAGGGGGCUAGCGUUGCUCGGAAUCACUGGGCGUAAAGCGCACGUAGGCGGACUCUUAAGUCAGAGGUGAAAUCCUGGAGCUCAACUCCAGAACUGCCUUUGAUACUGAGAAUCUUGAGUACGGGAGAGGUGAGUGGAACUGCGAGUGUAGAGGUGAAAUUCGUAGAUAUUCGCAAGAACACCAGUGGCGAAGGCGGCUCACUGGCCCGUAACUGACGCUGAGGCACGAAAGCGUGGGGAGCAAACAGG